UCCCUCCUGGCUCAGAUGGUAAAGAAUCUGUCUGCAAUGCAGGAGACCCAGGUUUGAACCCUGGGUCGGGAA
rfam:TPA: Bos taurus chromosome 8, whole genome shotgun sequence.